CCUACGGGAGGCAGCAGUGAGGAAUAUUGGUCAAUGGGCGAGAGCCUGAACCAGCCAAGUCGCGUGAAGGAUGAAGGAUCUAUGGUUUGUAAACUUCUUUUAUAAGGGAAUAAAGUGCCCCACGUGUGGGGUUUUAUAUGUACCUUAUGAAUAAGCAUCGGCUAAUUCCGUGCCAGCAGCCGCGGUAAUACGGAAGAUGCGGGCGUUAUCCGGUUUUAUUGGGUUUAAGGGGAGCGUAGGCGGUUGCAUAAGUCAGCGGUAAAAUCGUGCGGCUCAACCGUACCGUGCCGUGGAAACUGGGGGACUUGAGUCUGCGCAGAGUACAUGGAAUUCGUGGUGUAGCGGUGAAAUGCUUAGAUAUCACGAAGAACUCCGAUCGCGAAGGCAUUGUACCGGAGC
rnacentral:rRNA from 1 species